UACGGAGGGUGCGAGCGUUGUCCGGAAUCACUGGGCGUAAAGGGCGCGUAGGCGGCGCGGGUAGUCGUCGGUGAAAGCUCAGGGCUCAACCCUGAGUCGGCCGGUGAUACUCCCGUGCUCGAGCACUGUAGAGGCAGGUGGAAUUCCGGGUGUAGCGGUGGAAUGCGUAGAGAUCCGGAAGAACACCGGUGGCGAAGGCGGCCUGCUGGGCAGUAGCUGACGCUGAUGCGCGACAGCGUGGGGAGCAAACAGG
rnacentral:rRNA from 1 species